rnacentral:rRNA from 1 species
GAUGAACGCUGGCGGCGUGCCUAAUACAUGCAAGUCGAGCGAACGGACGAGAGGCUUGCUUCUCUGAUGUUAGCGGCGGACGGGUGAGUAACACGUGGAUAACCUACCUAUCAGACUGGGAUAACUUCGGGAAACCGGCGCUAAUACCGGAUAAUAUUUUGAACCGCAUGGUUCAACUGUGAAAGACGGUCUUGCUGUCACUUAUAGAUGGAUACGCGCUGCAUGGGCUAGUUGGUAAGGUAACGGCUUACCAAGGCAACGAUGCAUAGCCGACCUGAGAGAGGGAUCGGCCACACGAGAGCUGAGACACGGUCCAUACUCCUACGGGAGGCAGCAGUAGGGAAUCGUCCGCAAUGGUCGAAAGCCUGACGGAGCAACGCCGCGUGAGUUAUGAAGGUCUUCGGAGCGUAAAACUCUGUUAUUAGUGAAGAACAUAUGUGUAAGUAACUGUGCACAUCGUGACGGUACCUAAUCAGAAAGCCACGGCUAACUACGUG